AUGCAGCUGGGAUUCUCUGAGGAAACAUGAUGGGUCAGGAGGAGGAGGGGAGGCGAGGACAGCCAUCUCCAAAAUGCUGUAGAUGUGCCUUUCCGGCUCUACACUGGUUGCACUCAGGCAAGCUGACGGGAAUCGGUGGUGGCAGCCAUGCGAAUGAGUAAUGUACCUGAAUGGACAUCAUCGAAGUACUGUGUAUAACUUAAAAGUAAGUGAAGCAACUUCAUAGGCUAGAGUUUCUUUCUGAAAGUUAUAUAUGGAGGCAGCAUUUGCUAACAUAAUGC
rnacentral:lncRNA from 12 species